rnacentral:rRNA from 1 species
UACGAAGGGGGCUAGCGUUGCUCGGAAUCAUUGGGCGUAAAGGGUGCGUAGGCGGCGCGGUAAGUCGGGUGUGAAAUCUUGGAGCUUAACUCCGAAACUGCAUUCGAUACUGCCGUGCUUGAGGACUGGAGAGGAGACUGGAAUUUACGGUGUAGCGGUGAAAUGCGUAGAUAUCGUAAGGAAGACCAGUGGCGAAGGCGGGGUCUCUGGACAGUUCCUGACGCUGAGGCACGAAGGCCAGGGGGAGCAAACGGG